UACGGAGGGUGCGAGCGUUGUCCGGAUUUAUUGGGUUUAAAGGGUGCGUAGGUGGUUUAGUAAGUCUGGUUUGAAAGUCAGUCGCUUAACGAUUGAGGGUGGCUGGAUACUGCUGAACUUGAAUGCCCUGGAGGUAGGUGGAACGGGUUGUGUAGCGGUGAAAUGCAUAGAUAUGACCCAGAACCCCAAUUGCGAAGGCAGCCUACUACGGGGUGAUUGACACUGAGGCACGAGAGCAUGGGGAGCAAACAGG
rnacentral:rRNA from 1 species